rfam:Streptomyces sp. 2114.4 genome assembly, contig: Ga0151178_11
AGAUGAGAGAAACACCCCGCUCGCAGGGGACUGCGGGCGACGCCCGGUCGGCACUUCCCCGGUUCCGAUCAGGCCGUGCCCUCGCGCACAACACCGGUGCCCCUGGCAAAGGGGGUUCCGGGAAUCCUCACCGAUCGGA